rnacentral:rRNA from 1 species
UACGUAGGCAGCGAGCGUUGUUCGGAGUUACUGGGCGUAAAGGGUGUGUAGGCGGUUGUUUAAGUUUGGUGUGAAAUCUCCCGGCUCAACUGGGAGGGUGCGCCGAAUACUGAAUGGACUAGAGUGCGGGAGAGGAAAGUGGAAUUCCUGGUGUAGCGGUGAAAUGCGUAGAUAUCAGGAGGAACACCGGUGGUGUAGACGGCUUUCUGGACCGUAACUGACGCUGGAGACACGAAAGCCGUGGGUAGCAAACAGG